rnacentral:rRNA from 1 species
CCUACGGGAGGCAGCAGUGGGGAAUAUUGCACAAUGGGGGGAACCCUGAUGCAGCGACGCCGCGUGGGUGAAGAAGUACCCCGGCAUGUAAAGCCCUGUCAGCAGGGAAGAAAAUGACGGUACCUGACCAAGAAGCCCCGGCUAACUACGUGCCAGCAGCCGCGGUAAUACGUAGGGGGCAAGCGUUAUCCGGAUUUACUGGGUGUAAAGGGGGCGUAGACGGCAAGGCAAGUCUGGAGUGAAAGCCCGGGGCCCAACCCCGGGACUGCUUUGGAAACUGGGUGGCUGGAGUGCAGGAGGGGUAAGCGGAAUUCCUGGUGUAGCGGUGAAAUGCGUAGAUAUCAGGAGGAACACCGGUGGCGAAGGCGGCCUACUGGACUGUAACUGACGUUGAGGCUCGAAGGCGUGGGGAGCAAACAGGAUUAGAUACCCGUGUAGUC